GACAGUCAGCAGACAAGAGAUUAGGACUGAAGCACUGAUGCUGAAAGAAACAGAAGCUUGAGAGAAUCAAAUAAAAAAAACAACAACAAAAAACCAACAGAGGAGCUGAGAGGAAAAUGGAACUUGAUUUGAUUAAGAUCCAUCUUUUUCUUCUCUGCGUCAAAUGAAGAGAGGUGUCUUAAAGUGCCUCUCAAACCUUUUCUGCUUUCAAGACACUUAACCAUCCUGCAAAUAGAAUAGAAACGACUUCAGUCGGCACUUCAAACGUAAAACUCAAACUGGAGGCGAAAAAAUUGUUCAUGUAUUAAUGUCACUUUGUCCCCAGAUGUUCUUUUCUAAAUGUAUCUGAACAUUAGUAUUUGCAUUAUGGAAUAAAUUUGCAUGUUCGUGUUUCAUCA